rnacentral:rRNA from 1 species
AGUGGGGAAUAUUGGACAAUGGGCGCAAGCCUGAUCCAGCCAUGCCGCGUGAGUGAUGAAGGCCCUAGGGUUGUAAAGCUCUUUUGUGCGGGAAGAUAAUGACGGUACCGCAAGAAUAAGCCCCGGCUAACUUCGUGCCAGCAGCCGCGGUAAUACGAAGGGGGCUAGCGUUGCUCGGAAUCACUGGGCGUAAAGGGUGCGUAGGCGGGAUUUUAAGUCAGAGGUGAAAGCCUGGAGCUCAACUCCAGAACUGCCUUUGAUACUGGAAUUCUUGAGUUCGGGAGAGGUGAGCGGAACUGCGAGUGUAGAGGUGAAAUUCGUAGAUAUUCGCAAGAACACCAGUGGCGAAGGCGGCUCACUGGCCCGAUACUGACGCUGAGGCACGAAAGCGUGGGUAGCAAA